rnacentral:rRNA from 1 species
GAUGAACGCUAGCUACAGGCUUAACACAUGCAAGUCGAGGGGAAACGACAUCGAAAGCUUGCUUUGAUGGGCGUCGACCGGCGCACGGGUGAGUAACGCGUAUCCAACCUGCCCACCACUUGGGGAUAACCUUGCGAAAGUAAGACUAAUACCCGAUGAUAUCCCUAGAAGACAUCUGAAAGGGAUUAAAGAUUUAUCGGUGAUGGAUGGGGAUGCGUCUGAUUAGCUUGUUGGCGGGGUAACGGCCCACCAAGGCGACGAUCAGUAGGGGUUCUGAGAGGAAGGUCCCCCACAUUGGAACUGAGACACGGUCCAAACUCCUACGGGAGGCAGCAGUGAGGAAUAUUGGUCAAUGGGCGAGAGCCUGAACCAGCCAAGUAGCGUGCAGGAAGACGGCCCUAUGGGUUGUAAACUGCUUUUAUAAGGGAAUAAAGUGAGCCUCGUGAGGCUUUUUGCAUGUACCUUAUGAAUAAGGACCGGCUAAUUCCGUG